GACGAACGCUGGCGGCGUGCCUAAUACAUGCAAGUCGCGCGGAUGGAGAGGAGCUUGCUCCUUGAAGUCAGCGGCGGACGGGUGAGUAACACGUGGGCAACCUGCCUGGCAGACGGGGAUAACGCUUGGAAACGAGUGCUAAUACCCGAUACGCUCUUCACGGGCAUCCGUGAGGAGGGAAAGGCGCUUCACGGCGUCACUGCCAGAUGGGCUCGCGGCGCAUUAGCUAGUUGGUGAGGUAACGGCUCACCAAGGCGACGAUGCGUAGCCGACCUGAGAGGGUGACCGGCCACACUGGGACUGAGACACGGCCCAGACUCCUACGGGAGGCAGCAGUAGGGAAUCUUCCGCAAUGGGCGCAAGCCUGACGGAGCAACGCCGCGUGAGUGAUGAAGGUCUUCGGAUUGUAAAACUCUGUCUUCCGGGACGAACCGAUAGGUGAGGCAAUGCUCCUAUCCUGACGGUACCGGAGGAGGAAGCCCCGGCUAACC
rnacentral:rRNA from 1 species